rnacentral:misc_RNA from 1 species
GAUGAAGAACGUAGCGAAAUGCGAUACGUAAUGUGAAUUGCAGAAUUCAGUGAAUCAUCGGAUCUUUGAACGCAUAUUGCGCUCUCUGGUAUUCCGGAGAGCAUGCUUGUUUGAGUAUCAGUAAACACCUCAACUCCCUUUUCUUUUUUGAAAUUGGAGCUGGACUUGAGUGAUCCCAACGCUUUCUUCCAAGAAAGUGGCGGGUUGCUUGAAAUGCAGGUGCAGCUGAACUUUUCUCUGAGCUAUAAGCAUAUCUAUUUAGUCUGCCUAAAAAACAGAUUAUUACCUUUGCUGCAGCUAACAUAAAGGAGACUAGUUCUUGUGCUGACUGAUGCAGGAUUCACAGAGACAGCUUCGGCUGACUUUGUAAACUCGAUCUCAAAUCAAGUAAGACUACCCGCUGAACUUAAGCAUAUCAAUAAGCGGAGGA